UUAAAUUUUAUUUCGAAUCAGACACAAGCUAAACGGCAUAGAUUCGACGCCCAGAGGCGCCGAAGCACUUCUCGCUUCCACAGGUUUGAGGAUUAAGGACCCGAAAUGGAUCCAAAUCUUAUUAAUGAUCCCUCCGCAGGUUCACCUACGGAGA
rnacentral:misc_RNA from 1 species